GAAGAUCUCCUAUCAAGUGUCCGCACAAGUUCACGCUUUUCUCCUUCCAGUUCCUCUUUGGCUUUUGAGAGCAAAGCCUGCUGAUCAAAAUUUAUC